CAGCCCUAAACGAUACUCGCUAGGUGUCGGCCACGGUGCGACCGUUGUCGGUGCCGUAGGGAAGCCGUGAAGCGAGCCACCUGGGAAGUACGGCCGCAAGGCUGAAACUUAAAGGAAUUGGCGGGGGAGCACAACAACGGGUGGAGCUUGCGGUUUAAUUGGAUUCAACGCCGGAAAUCUUACCGGGACCGACAGCAACAUGAAGGCCAAGCUGAAGACUUUGCCGGAUUAGCUGAGAGGAGGUGCAUGGCGUAGUCGUGU
rnacentral:rRNA from 1 species